rnacentral:tRNA from 1 species
GCUGGAAUCGGCUCAAUCAGUAGAGCAUGAGACUUUUAAUCUCAGGGUUGUGGGUUUGAGUCCCAUGUUGGGCA